rnacentral:rRNA from 1 species
CGUGAUGCAUGGGCGCAGCCUGAUGCAGCGACGCCGCGUGAGGGAUGACGGCCUUCGGGUUGUAAACCUCUUUCAGUAGGGAAGAAGCGAAAGUGACGGUACCUGCAGAAGAAGCGCCGGCUAACUACGUGCCAGCAGCCGCGGUAAUACGUAGGGCGCAAGCGUUAUCCGGAAUUAUUGGGCGUAAAGAGCUCGUAGGCGGUUUGUCGCGUCUGCCGUGAAAGUCCGGGGCUCAACUCCGGAUCUGCGGUGGGUACGGGCAGACUAGAGUGAUGUAGGGGAGACUGGAAUUCCUGGUGUAGCGGUGAAAUGCGCAAAUAUCAGGAGGAACACCGAUGGCGAAGGCAGGUCUCUGGGCAUUAACUGACGCUGAGGAGCGAAAGCAUGGGGAGCGAACAGGAUUAGAUACCCUGGUAGUCCAUGCCGUAAACGUUGGGCACUAGGUGUGGGGGACAUUCCACGUUUUCCGCGCCGUAGCUAACGCAUUAAGUGCCCCGCCUGGGGAGUACGGCCGCAAGGCUAAAACUCAAUGAAAAUUUGACGGA